GUAGGGAAUAUUGCGCAAUGGGGGAAACCCUGACGCAGCGACGCCGCGUGAGUGAUGAAGGCCUUCGGGUCGUAAAGCUCUGUUGCAGGGGAAUAAAAAAAUGAAGGUACCCUGUGAGGAAGGAUCGGCUAACUUCGUGCCAGCAGCCGCGGUAAGACGAGGGAUCCUAGCGUUGCUCGGACUCAUUGGGCGUAAAGAGGGCGUAGGUGGCUUGGUAAGUCAGGUGUGAAAGCCCAGGGCUCAACCCUGGAAGUGCAUUUGAUACUGCUGAGCUUGAGUGUCGGAGAGGUUAGCGGAAUACCUGGUGUAGUGGUGAAAUACGUAGAUAUCAGGUGGAACACCGGAGGCGAAGGCGGGUAACUGGACGAACACUGACACUGAGGCCCGAAAGCGUGGGGAUCAAACAGGAUUAGAUACCCCAGUAGUCC
rnacentral:rRNA from 1 species